rnacentral:rRNA from 1 species
AGUGAACGCUGGCGGUAGGCCUAACACAUGCAAGUCGAACGGCAGCACAGUAAGAGCUUGCUCUUACUGGUGGCGAGUGGCGGACGGGUGAGGAAUACAUCGGACUCUACUUUUUCGUGGGGGAUAACGUAGGGAAACUUACGCUAAUACCUCAUACGACCUACUGGUGAAAGCAGGCGAUCUUCGGACCUUGCGCGAUUGAAUGAGCCGAUGUCGGAUUAGCUAGUUGGCCGGGUAAAGGCCCACCACGGCGACGAUACGUAGCUGGUCUGAGAGGAUGAUAAGCCACGCUGGAACUGAGACACGGUCCAGACUCCGACGGGAGGCAGCAGCGGGAAAUAUUGGACAAUGGGCGAAAGCCUGAUCCAGCCAUACCGCGUGGGUGAAGAAGGCCUUCGGGUGGUAAAGCCCUUUUGUUGGGAAAGAAAAGCAGCAGGUUAAGACCCCGCUGUUCUGACGGUACCCAAAGAAUAAGCACCGGCUAACUUCGU